ACUGAGCAAAUAUGAUGACAGAAGGCACUGAAUCGUUCAUCUCCCCUGCCUCCUGAAGGCGUACUGCCGGUACCCCAGGCCUCCAACCUCUGGAAUUGUACCGGAUCUGCUUUCCUGGGAAGACUUCGAGUUUGAAGGAAGCCUCACAGCAGGUUUUUAAGACACUGCAAAGGGGUGAGACGUCAGUGGACCAUGGAGUCAGAGCAAGCACGGUUAGGCGAGACUUUUCCAUGAGCUGCAAUUCUAGAUUUACAUCAGAAACCCCUAAAAAGACUAGAAGAUUCUGAAGUGAUUUCAAAG